ACUACACCACCUUCCACUACGGAUCGUCCGGCACGUUCCUGCCGGUGAAGGGGGCCUAGU
rnacentral:ncRNA from 1 species